GACGAACGCUGGCGGCGUGCCUAACACAUGCAAGUCGAGCGAUGAAACCCUUCGGGGUGGAUUAGCGGCGGACGGGUGAGUAACAAGUGGGUAACCUGCCUCAAAGAGGGGGAGAGCCUCCCGAAAGGGAGAUUAAUACCGCAUAACCUUAGUUUUUCGCAUGAAGAACUAAUUAAAGGAGUAAUCCGCUUUGAGAUGGACCCGCCGCGCAUUAGCUAGUUGGUGAGGUAAAGGCGCACCAAGGCGACGAUGAGUAGCCGACCUGAUAGGGUGAUCGGCCACAUUGGAACUGAGACACGGUCCAGACUCCUACGGGAGGCAGCAGUGGGGAGUAUUGCACAAUGGGCGAAAGCCUGAUGCAGCAACGCCGCGUGAGUGAUGAAGGCCUUCGGGUUGUAAAGCUCUGUCUUUUGGGACGAUAAUGACGGUACCAAAGGAGGAAGCCACGGCUAACUACGUGCCAGCCGCCGCAGUAA
rnacentral:rRNA from 1 species